rnacentral:rRNA from 1 species
GAUCCUGGCUCAGGAUGAACGCUAGCGGCAGGCUUAACACAUGCAAGUCGAGGGGCAGCAUAAUGGUAGCAAUACUAUUGAUGGCGACCGGCGGACGGGUGCGUAACGCGUAUGCAACCUACCCUUUACAGGGGGGAUAACACUGAGAAAUCGGUACUAAUACCCCAUAAUAUUCUGGGAGGCAUCUUUCGGGGUUGAAAGCUUUGGUGGUAAAGGAUGGGCAUGCGUUGUAUUAGCUAGUUGGUAAAGG